AGACCUACCGCGUGAGCGUGCGGGAGCGGCCAGUGGAGGCGGAGGUGGUGGCAGAAGGAGGAGGAGCCCGUGGGCUGCGUGGACCUGGCCCGGCUGUGACCUUCCUGGGUACCUGUCUCUCUUUCUGACCCCAACAUCCUCCGGAAUUAGAGAGAUCUGCCUCUGCUUCGUGUCUGGCGUGGCUGCCGCCGGUGUGAGGACUUCUCUAGGAAUCCGCUAACGUACCUCUGAGGCAAGCGGAAGGGCCAGCCCUCCCGCCCCGCGACCCCGCAGGCCUGCAUCUGAUGGGAACCCAACCUGAGAUCCAGACCCUCUGAGUAUUUACUCAAGAUACAUGUAAACACAUCUAUGCAAAGACUUUACAGUGAUGUUCAUAGCAGCCAUAUUCAUGAUAGUUCUAAACUGGAAGCAACCCCCAAAUCCAUCUAUAGGUGAAUAGGUUUGAAAUGAGGACUCAUCGAGAAAUGACCAAGUUGGUUGUGCUUAUUACACUCUGGGGAGGAAAGUGUGUCUUCUCUGUUGUUUUUCCCUAUGGGAUGGCUGAGAACGGUGAGGGAGUGGAGAUAGAGGACUAGCUUGUGUUGUAACUAAAGCAAGAAAAGCUCUAGAGAACACCAAUUUCUUCUCCAUACCUUAAAUCUUCCCUGUCAAGAGGGGAAAAUUAUACAAAGGAAAAAUUCUGGAAGGCUAUUGAGUCCUCUUCUUUUGUUUCUCCUCCCAGGACAGGGAGGUUGAAGUGUCCUGGCUUCACCCUGCCAUCCCCAACUCAGUUCAUGCUGCCAGAUGAUUCCCCGCUUGUGCAAUGCCCAGAUUGGAGAGCUAAUGGCAUGGGGUUCAGCCUCUCCCUCUUUUUGGGUUGGUUCCACACCUGGAACCCCACUCCUGAUGAUUUUCCCCUCAAUGUUUGUUCUCAUGUGUCUCCUACACAUGUCUAUUUGAGGAGAGAGGUUAUGCAUCUUCUCUUCAAAAGGAGAUACAACUUCUAGGAAUUUAUCCUCAGGAAGUCAGCCUGGAGGUGUCAAACGAAAGCCAACAAAAGGGAUGUUACAGAAUUGAAAGAUUAUGACCUCACAUCAUGAGGCUAUAGAAGAAGUAUUGAUGAGGAAAGAUGUCUAGAGUGUAUUAGUAAGUUUUUAAAAAGCAUGGUUGCAAAAUUGUAUAUUGUGAGGGGUGU